CAGAAUGACUUCAUUGUUCUCAGCAAUCACACUCCAAAGUUCCAACAGGAGCAGAAUCUCUAUGGUACAGCAUGUUUCACCUUGUAUAAAAAUCACCAUGAUUAACAGCAUGAGGAUGAGACGGGAGAUGUGGAUUCCAGAUUAUAAUUAAGAGAGCGGUUUCUAGGAUAUCCAAUUGAAUCAAGAGAUUUCACUGUGCUACAGCAUGACACCCAUGGUAACCUUGAGAAAGCUGAUCAGAAAUCCCCCGAAUUCUCUCUUGCUACCUUUGUCCACCUGAAGUGGUAUCUGAAAACAUGGAGAACAGAAGCCUUCUAUCUAAGCUUUCCCAUGAGCUAGAAACUUCCAAACAACACAAUUGUUUGGUCUGUUGAAAUCCCUGCGCUUAGAAUGUUCUUUAAAUGAAAAUAAGUGGCAGUCAUUAUU